UACGGAGGGGGCGAGUGUUGUUCGGAAUUACUGGGCGUAAAGGGCGCGCAGGCGGCAUGGCAAGUCGAGUGUGAAAUCCCUUGGCUUAACUGAGGAAUGGCGCUCGAAACUACCGCGCUGGAGGGCGGGAGAGGGAAGUGGAACUCUCGGUGUAGGGGUGAAAUCUGUAGAUAUCGAGAGGAACACCGGUGGCGAAGGCGGCUUCCUGGCCCGUACCUGACGCUGAGGCGCGAAAGCGUGGGGAGCAAACAGG
rnacentral:rRNA from 1 species